rnacentral:lncRNA from 1 species
CCUGGGCGUGCUUCCGACCCCGAUGCCGGCGGGCUGUGGAGUGGGUGGCACAGAGCUGGUAGCGCCGUCCGCGUGCACGUUUCAGCCGUCUUUGACGGGAAGCACAUCCAGGACAGCACGACCGUAGUAGGUGACGCGUGCUGAGCGUUGACUGGCUGGACACCAACACCCUACCAUCUUUAUUCACCAUCCCAACCCGGCGGGGAGGGAAUCUCCGACCUGCUGUUAACGUUCGAAGAGCCUGAGGCCAGCCGGAGGAGCGCGGGACCUGGGCUCUGCAAGGAAGAAGCUUCCUGCCUUUUCCGGGGUGCGGCCACUGACCCCGGACGUCCCCCUCACCAGCAUCCUGAAGUCUCAUGGGGUGCUCCCCCUGUGAGGCUCAGACUUCAAAUCAGUUUUGUUUCCUCUGAUCAAAUCUCUCUGGUUUAGCUCAGCUGCAAGGGUACUGAAGAUCGCUUGAUGGAAAUGAUCGAUACUCUUGUAAAGUCUACGAGCUUCACCCUUCGGGGAGGGGUCCCCCAUCCUCAACUGCUUGAAUCAAGGCACCUCCCCGGCUCCAGGCGUAUACCGCUGCCCUUGUGCUCCCCUCCCCACCUCCACUCCCCAACUCAGGCCCACAGGCUGCAGGAGGGCACUGUGCAAGAGCCACAGACGAAGAGCCAUUUCUGUCUCUCCCCGGCCCGGCCCGCCCGCAGAACCUGCGAGGCCCAUCUCCCUCCAAGGCUGCUUUUGUUCCUUCUCGUGUGAAAAUGCUUCCCGAGCUUUGCUGCGGCUGCAAAGAGGAGCUUUGAUUCUCCACGGAGAACCUGCCCACGGGCUCGGCAGAGGAGCAGGGGGACGUCGCCCGCCGACCAUAGCUAAUUAAGUCCCCGCACAGUCAUGGAACAUGCGUUUUAUGAUGAUUAAUCCCUGCGACGGUGAGGAUAUUUUUCAUUUUCACAGCUCCUGGGCUGCUCAUUAAUCAUUCAGCCCCCGCGGAUGGCAGGCCUGGCUCUGUUCCCAAGAGCAGGGAAACUGAGUCAGGUGUGCCUGCCCCCACGCCUGUCCCCUCGGUACCGAGCGGAGACGGCCCCCGUCGGGCAU